CCUACGGGUGGCAGCAGUGGGGAAUAUUGGACAAUGGGGGGAACCCUGAUCCAGCGACGCCGCGUGAGUGAAGAAGUAUUUCGGUAUGUAAAGCUCUAUCAGCAGGGAAGAAAGAAAUGACGGUACCUGACUAAGAAGCCCCGGCUAACUACGUGCCAGCAGCCGCGGUAAUACGUAGGGGGCAAGCGUUAUCCGGAUUUACUGGGUGUAAAGGGAGCGUAGACGGCGAUGCAAGUCUGAAGUGAAAGGCGGGGGCCCAACCCCUGGACUGCUCUGGAAACUAUGUGACUGGAGUGCAGGGGAGGUGAGCGGAAUUCGUAGUGUAGCGGUGAAAUGCGUAGAUAUUAGGAGGAACACCAGUGGCGAAGGCGGCUCACUGGACUGUAACUGACGUUGAGGCUCGAAAGCGUGGGGAGCAAACAGGAUUAGAUACCCUUGUAGUC
rnacentral:rRNA from 1 species